UAGAUGAAUGGCUGAGAGGUUGAAAGCAUCAAUUUUGAAAAUUGACAUGAGAAUUCUUUCUUAUCAUAGGUUCGAAUCCUAUUUCAUCUAU
rnacentral:tRNA from 1 species